AGAGUUUGAUCAUGGCUCAGGAUGAACGUUGGCGGUGUGACCUAAUACAUGACAAGUCGAACGGUGACGUAUUUGUAGCAAUACGAAUGAAAUCAUAGUGGCGAACGGGUGAGUAACGCGUUGGUGAUCUGCCUCGAAGUGUGGAAACAACUUCCCGAAAGGGUAGCUAAUACCGCAUAGUCUCUCAGGGUUUAGAAAACUGAGAGUAAAGGAUUUUAUUCGCUUCGAGAGGAGCCUGCGUCCCAUCAGCUAGUUGGUAGGGUAACGGCCUACCAAGGCAAUGACGGGUAGGGGACCUGAGAGGGUGGCCCCCCACAAUGGAACUGAAACACGGUCCAUACACCUACGGGUGGCAGCAGUAGGGAAUAUUAGAAAUGGGCGAAAGCCUGAUCUAGCAACACCGCGUGUGCGAUGAAGGCCUUCGGGUCGUAAAGCACUUUUUGGAGGGAAUAGGAAGGAAGGUACCUCCAGAAUAAGUCUCGGCUAACUACGUGCCAGCCGCUGC
rnacentral:rRNA from 1 species